GCUUCAUCCCCAAAACUAAAGCUCUUUUUGUUUUCCCAUUCCCAAAAUCUCUCCUAAAUCACAUUUAUAAACGGCACAUAGGGUUUCUCGGAUUCUUUUCUCUACAAUCGGCGAGUUAGCAAGAAGAAUGUGGGUCGUUCAUCACCAUCUCUUCAUCGAUGUCUGACUCAAGAGCUUGUGGAAACACUACUAGAAAAAAUUUGGAUUUCCUAUCUUGGUUUAAAAAAGCGUGCCUAGGCACGAGGCGACCCAAGGCGCCAACCAAAUCGCGUUGUGUGACACAAGGCGUACGAUGUACAAAAGGCGCAGGUGAGGCGCGUUUUUUAGCCUAAAAAUUGACUUGAGGCGCAGGUGAGGCGCGCACCUUAUGUACAUGGUGUUGACUGAAGAUAGCAAAGACGCCGAUAAAACAUGUCAGGCAACACAUAACUUCUUAAGGAAUACCUAUCAAGGUUAAUUUGUCACAAGGAAACUUAGUUCAGAUAAGAAAGUGGACAUAGCACAGACCCUACACAAUCUCAGUGAAGGAACCAUCAUUUGAUUCAUACCUUGAUCGAUGUGAAGAUGCAUAAACAUGAACAAGAUUAAUACGUUGUAGGAUGGGGCUUUUAUCAUAUCAUGGAAGUUUGCUUAAAGAUGAUCAGUUUUUGCCCGUUAUGACAAAAAUUAUAUAUUGUUUAGUAUGAAUGUGAAGGUUACACUGUGAAUCAAAUGAUGUUCAUAUAUUUGGGUAACUUUUACAAAUUAGUGACUUUUUCCAAGUGUUA